rnacentral:rRNA from 1 species
UAGGGAAUCUUCCACAAUGGACGCAAGUCUGAUGGAGCAACGCCGCGUGAGUGAAGAAGGUUUUCGGAUCGUAAAGCUCUGUUGUUGGUGAAGAAGGAUAGAGGUAGUAACUGGCCUUUAUUUGACGGUAAUCAACCAGAAAGUCACGGCUAACUACGUGCCAGCAGCCGCGGUAAUACGUAGGUGGCAAGCGUUGUCCGGAUUUAUUGUGCGUAAAGCGAGCGCAGGCGGAAGAAUAAGUCUGAUGUGAAAGCCCUCGGCUUAACCGAGGAACUGCAUCGGAAACUGGUUUUCUUGAGUGCAGAAGAGGAGAGUGGAAUUCCAUGUGUAGCGGUGGAAUGCGUAGAUAUAUGGAAGAACACCAGUGGCGAAGGCGACUCUCUGGUCUGCAACUGACGCUGAGGCUCGAAAGCAUGGGUAGCGAACAGG